CUCUCUCUCACUCUCUCAGUGGCCAUAGACAAUCAUCCCCAGACGAGCUCUUGUUGCCUCUGUACGCAAUUCCUCAAUAGCUGUCACCGAUUGUGUUUGAUUUUCGCUCUUCCUCUACGAUUGAAGUUAGCCUACAAUCUAGUCGAAGUUAGUGCUGCAAUCAUCUUCAAUUUCUAACCCACGACUGGAGAAGUUUCUGGAAACACCUGAAGGAAGAGUAUAUAGAGAUAGACAGGAGUUGGAUAGACUUACUAAAUCGAAUGUCCGCAGAAUAUAUAGCUGGGAUUGAUCAAUUCCUUACGUUUGCAGACAGUAAAAGAUAUGAAAGUUUGGUAUCUGUGUAGGAAUUGUGGGAAUCGUUAUAAUCUGGCAAGAGUGGUGGUGCGAGAGCAUCUAAUAUCCAAUGGUUUCUUAAGGAAUUACAAGAAUUGGGUUUAUCACAGUGAGUCCUACGUUCCUUUGCAUUGCAUCUAAAGUUUUGGCUUUGUUUUCUUGAUUCAGCCGAAGCUUACCUGUGCGAGUGCCUAAGGUCAUAAGAAU